CUGGGGUGAAGUCGUAACAAGGUAGCCGUAUCGGAAGGUGCGGCUGGAUCACGUCCUUUCUAAGGAGAAUU
rnacentral:rRNA from 1 species